AUCACUUAACCUCUGCCAGCCUCAGUUUGCUUGUCUGUAAAAUAACACCUGGGGAAGCUAGAUGACAGUGGAUGGAGAGCCAGGCCUGGAGGCAGGAGGUCUUGGGUUCAAAUUUGACCUCAGACACUUCCCAGCUGUGUGACUCUGGACAAAUCACUCAACCUGUCCCAGCCUCAGUUUUCUCAUCUGCAGAAAGGGGGAAAUAAUAGCAUCUGAGGAAGCUAGGUUGCUCAGUGGCUAGAGAGCCGGAUUUGGAGACAGGAAGUCCUGGAUUCAAAUUUGACCUCAAACAUUUCCUAGCUGUGUGACUCCUGGCCAAGUCACUGAACUGCCAUUACCUAGCCCUUACCACUCUUCUGCCCUUAUAACUGAUGCACAAGAUUGAUUUUAAGACAGAAAGUAAGGGUUUACAAAGAAAAGAAAAGAACAGCACCUGCUUCUUGGGAUUGUUGUGGCAUGACCCAUUACAGCAGUGUAUCAGCAGUGGCCAUCAUUGUUCUCAUCAUUAUUCCCCUGACGCAAGAGCAGAUUUGUGUGCUUGUGCCCCCCACCAUCCAACAUGCUAUGCAAAAAGAAAGAGAGAGAGUCAUAGCAUAUGGGAACUACUCUAGGCUGGCAGGUUUACAGAUCUGACACUUCAUUAUUCAGAAUGCCACAGUGUUCCAAGGUUGCUAUGGUAGCAUGUGCCCAUAACUGAUUAUCUUACAGGCAAAGCUGGGAAAGAAUAGGUGUGUUGCCCUUGUCCACGACCCUUCAGAGAUGCCAUGAGGCCCUCUGAUAUGGCAUCUGCCCACUCUCCAGUGAGAAUAGCUGGACAGCUACCAGGUCCAACCAGAUGCUGCCCAUGGAGCUCUAGGUGGUGGAAGAGAUCAAGGGAACAGAGUGAUCCUUCUCCUAGUUGUCUAUACAAGGUGGCCUCCCAGGCUUUCCGAAUCUCUUUCUUGCAGUUUUGGGUGGUGGAAAGGAUGAUGUGGCUGGGCCCUCAAUGGUUUAUCCCAGGUGGUCUCAGGGCUUCCCCAAAGGUCAUCAUGAUACCUUGAUUGCCUAUCCAAGACUGUCUCAGGGCCUCCUUGAUGGUUUCCAGGGAGAUCAACCAAUAACCUAUCCACAAAAGCCUCAAGCCGUUCCUGAGAAUCUGCCUGCAACUUUGGCUGGGAUUGCAAAAAGAAGACCUGGUCUAAUGGUCCAUCCUAGGAGAUGAUGUGCUGAUUUAAAGGGAGGACAAAUUCUCAACCUGAUUAGUGGGCAGCAUGCUUGAAAAAAAUCGUCACCUCUACCACACUAAAUCUAGUAGGAAGCAGAUAUCUGGACCCUGGAAAUCACGAGCCCGUGACUGCUCUUCUUUGGAGAUGAUAUUACUACAAAAACCCUCAGAUGGCUUAAAAAGAAAUGUAGAGACAAGAGAGACUCCCGGCCCUGUAACCCACCUUGGCUAAAAUGGAUUCAGUUUGAAAA